GUGUGUGUGUGUGUGUGUGUGUGUGUGUGUGUGUUCCUGUGUUGGUGCCACGUUUAUAAAAAAAAUGUGUUAAUUUGCCAUCUCUUAGUUCAUGAACCAAUCCGCUGUUUGGAAUGUGACGCUUCGCUACAACUUUCUCGCUUACUCGUUUGCCCUGUGCAUAAAGCAAGUUUUGAAAUGACAUAUACAGAAACGGUGCAACUCCGUAGGUAGUGUGCUUGUGUGCAUUCAGCUAGCUGGUUUUCAAAAUUCUGAUGUUUGCGUUUAAUCACUGGGUCUCUUCGGGUUUUCUAGGCUACAAAUCGGAAGUCCCAUUUCAUGUUAUUGUUUGUUUAAUUUAACUGAGAUUUUAAAAGGAAGUGUGGUGAAAAAAAAAAAAGAAACGAAAACCAAGACCAGCUCCCGUGUUGUUUGUAUUGGAGAAAGUAGGUUGGAUGUGCAGAGAGACGCUAAUUAAAAGCUGGACUCGGCAGACUGUUCAGAGCUGCAGGUUUAACUUGUCAUAUCAAGAGGAAGUGAUUACAAACCGUAGCGUGGCUUCCUUCCACGCAGGUUUCCCGCCUGCAAGCGAAGCAGCAGCAGUCCAGACUGUUUUCUAACUCACUGUUCAAAGUACAAAGCAAGAAUAAACCGCGAUCAUUUCACUGUUUGGUUCUUUUUUUUGUUGUUGUAGUUUUUAAAGUUAAAAUUACUGUCUGUUCAAAAGAAAAACUAAAUUAAAUGUUGCGAUCUACAGUAAAACAUAUGGUUUACAGGAAAAAAAGAAAGCUUUUUGUUAUUUUUUAAAAUAAAUUUGCAUCAUUCAUACACGGGAAAACUCACAUUCACAGCAAACAUCGUUUCAAUGCACUUUCCAAGACAAACUGAUCCACUUUUCACACAGAAGUAAGUCCAACUCAAUCAAACAUUUUCAAAUUCAAUUAUGUCCUAGUUUUAAACACCUUGGUUUAUUUCAGGGGUAAAAAAAUGUUUUGCUUACAUCUGGCGUGUCCAGACUUCGUCACUUCGGCCAAAACUGUCAACUAAAAUGUGCUGACGGGACAAAAAAGUUACAUUUUUAAUAACUGAAAUCGCCAAAAAUGUUACAUUUUUAAAUGUAUUUUAAUUAAAUUAAAGUUUUUGGUCAUUGUUGUUUUUUUGUUUUUUUAUGGGAACCAGAUCAUAGAUCUAAAACUUGCUAAAUGACUUCCAGUUUGCUUGUAAUUUUGAAGAAAAUUGAGAAAAAAUAUUAAUCUGUUCUCAUCAGCAAAACAGGAUCUAUGUCAGUCUUUAUUUCAAAACAUUUGCUGUAUUUAGUCAAGUUUUUAUGCAGCGUUUAAAAGCAGGUUUGGGUCCAUCAAAGUGAACUGUAGCAGUCAUGUCAAUGAGUGGAUGUGUGCUCCAGGUUGCCAUGACAACAGGAGAAACUCAGAAAGCUUGGAAAAGGUGAUCACUGUGUUGCAUCAAACAUUUUUUGUGUGUGGAUUUGAGUUUAUAGGUCUUGGUUUUGUCCUAAUUUAUUUCAUUUAUGUUUGUUAAAAAUCAGCCCAUCAGCAGCAGAACUGAGAGAAAAUAAAACCACAGAAUCACCGAUUCAGAAGUUCUUUCUACAUUAAAUCAUAAUAAUUAUUAUUUAUAGCAGUAGAAUCUCCUUCAGCGGUUUCACAGAGGAGAGAAAACGCCGCCCUUCUGAUGCACUUUGACCCGGAUUUUAAAAAGGCUUCGUGUGAAUUCUGCACUUACAUUAAUAAUAUGUGAUUUAAAUGUUUUUUUGUUUGUUUGUUUGUUUUUUCAUCUGACUGUGUUAAGCCUUCAGAAAAUAUGACUCAUAAAAUCAGACAUGUGGCCAUCCAUCCAUCGUUUAUUUUCUACGACUCUUCCAGUAGUCGGAGUGAAAUGUGGAACCGGACAUUUCAACAAUCCAUCACAGAGACCUGCAGUCCACUUUAUGUAAGUAUUAUGUGUCUCACUAAAGUAAUCUGCAAUAACAGUAAUUAAUCUAAGUGUUAAUAUGUAAACGUAAGCAGGAAGGCAUUCGGUGUUUACCUUCAGGAUGUCCAGAGACGUUUAGCAUGCAUUAGUUUUUUCUGACUUCUGCA